UUGACUGUGCAAAGGUAGCAUAAUCAUUAGUUUUUUAAUUAAAAGCUUGUAUGAAGGGUUGGACGAGGUAAAUUCUGUCUCUAUUUAAUUUAAUAUAGAAUUUAAUUUUUAAGUUAAAAAGCUUAAAUUUUUUUAAAAGACGAGAAGACCCUAUAGAUCUUUAUAUUAUGAAUAUUAAUUUUAAUUAAGAAUAUUUAAUUUUUUAUUAUUUAUAAUAUUUUAUUGGGGUAAUAGAAAGAUUAAUUUAAUUCUUUUUUUUUAUUUUUACAUUAAUAAAUGAUUAUAUGAUCCAAUUUUAUUGAUUAUAAGAUUAAGUUACCUUAGGGAUAACAGCGUAAUUUUUUUAGAGAGUUCAUAUCGAUAAAAAAGUUUGCGACCUCGAUGUUGGAUUAAAAAUUAUCUUAGGUGCAGAAGUUUAAGAUUUUGGUCUGUUCGACCAUUAAAUUUUU
rnacentral:rRNA from 1 species